rnacentral:rRNA from 1 species
UACAGAGGGGGCAAGCGUUGUUCGGAAUUACUGGGCGUAAAGGGCGCGUAGGCGGCCUGCUAAGUCGAACGUGAAAUCCCUGGGCUCAACCCAGGAACUGCGUCCGAUACUGGUUGGCUUGAAUUCGGGAGAGGGAUGUGGAAUUCCAGGUGUAGCGGUGAAAUGCGUAGAUAUCUGGAGGAACACCGGUGGCGAAGGCGGCAUCCUGGACCGAUAUUGACGCUGAGACGCGAAAGCGUGGGGAGCAAACAGG